ACUGCCCCCUCCAUCCUCUCUAUCUCUCUCUCUCUCUCUCACUCCCUCUCCCACUGCCCCCUCCAUCCUCUCUCUCUCUCCAGUUAUACAGGCAGAGUGGUGGGCAACGGUCUCCAGGCCCAGAAGCAGAACCCCGAGGUCAAAGUUCGCAGCCCAAACCCCGAACUGGCCGAGGUGAAGGAGAGGCUGGAGCGCUUCAACCAGGAGAUUCAGGACAUGCUGCCAGGGCUGGGCCAGAGCGAGUCCUGGGGGGAGCUGGGUAGUGGCGACACAGAGGAUGGCAGCGGAGACUGUGACGAUGAAGACGGGUGUCAAGGGUCUGGAACGGGGACGGUCAGGAGCUCCCCUGAUGGUCGACCAGAGGUUUCCAGCGACAAACCCGUAGGAAGUAACCCUGGUGGUCGUGCUCCCCCGGUGGUGAGGCUGAGAGGAGCAGGGUGCCCCCCUGCCUGUCUGUCUCUACCCACGGCCCUCACCCUCCUCCUGGUCACUCUGGCUCUACAGUGGAGCAUGCUGUGAUCAAAUCAUAGUGCCCCCUACUGACCUGGCCCCAUCCACACACACAGUGGAGACUACACCCCUACACCACCUCCUAUGUACCCCAACCCCAAUGCACAGACUGGACUGGGGUAGAGGAAGGAGGAUGGGUGAAGAAAUGCGAAGAGGACAGAGAGAGAGGGAGGAGGGGGUGAAGCGAGAGAUGUGUGUGUGUGGGGGGGGCUCCUCACAAGCAGAUUGUUACGGUACUCAGCCUGCUGCUUCCUGUGUGUAUGCUGUGGACUAGUCUCCCUCCACAGCUC
rnacentral:lncRNA from 1 species